rnacentral:sRNA from 1 species
GCUGGGCAUGGAGGUGCACACCUGUAAUCCCCGCUGCUCGGGAGGCUGAGACAGGAGGAUUGAGAGUUCAAAGCCAGCCUUAGCAAGAGCAAAGUGCUAAGCAACUCAGUGAGACCCUGUCUCUA